rnacentral:lncRNA from 10 species
UGGUGGAGGUGGAGAAUUUUAUUUAGGGAUGGAAAUGUCUCACAGUGGAGAGGGGAGCUGAAGAGGAGGCAGGACGGGCAGGUAAUCUUCCCUGACAUCUGGCAGUCUCCAGCCAGCUCUUCUCCGAAGUUAAGCCAUCACUCCUCCAAAGUCCAGCUGUCCCUCUGAAGUCAAGUUGCCUCUCUCCAGUCAAGCUGCGUCUCCCUUUCUACCUACUGAGUCUGGGGUCUUUAUAGGGAUAUGAUGGGGGGCAGGGAGGGUCAUAAGUAAUUUUGGGAAAAGGCAACAUUCAAUAGGUAGAAAGACAUUAUUCAGAAAGAGUCAACUGGGAGAGAGCGAGCAAACAGGGAUAGAAGUUCUCACUUUGGGCUGUGGGUUUCAGCUUGAAGGUGGGGUUUUGCUAGGUCCCACCCUUGUCUGCCUAGAAUUUCUCUGCCUCUAGCCUCUAUCGAUGUUGCCACUUUUUUCCCUCAUUGUAGCGAAGAGCAG